rnacentral:misc_RNA from 1 species
GAUGAAGAACGUAGCGAAAUGCGAUAAGUAAUGUGAAUUGCAGAAUUCAGUGAAUCAUCGAAUCUUUGAACGCACAUUGCGCCCGCCAGUAUUCUGGCGGGCAUGCCUGUUCGAGCGUCAUUACAACCCUCAGGCCCCCGGGCCUGGCGUUGGGGAUCGGCAGAAGCCCCCUGUGGGCACACGCCGUCCCUCAAAUACAGUGGCGGUCCCGCCGCAGCUUCCAUUGCGUAGUAGCUAACACCUCGCAACUGGAGAGCGGCGCGGCCACGCCGUAAAACACCCAACUUCUGAAUGUUGACCUCGAAUCAGGUAGGAAUACCCGCUGAACUUAAGCAUAUCAAUAAGCGGAGGA